UACAGAGGAUGCAAGCGUUAUCCGGAAUGAUUGGGCGUAAAGCGUCUGUAGGUGGCUUUUUAAGUCCGCCGUCAAAUCCCAGGGCUCAACCCUGGACAGGCGGUGGAAACUACCAAGCUGGAGUACGGUAGGGGCAGAGGGAAUUUCCGGUGGAGCGGUGAAAUGCGUAGAGAUCCGGAAGAACACCGGUGGCGAAGGCGGCCUGCUGGGCAGUAGCUGACGCUGAGGCGCGACAGCGUGGGGAGCAAACAGG
rnacentral:rRNA from 1 species